UCGACGAUGAAUCUUCUAGCUUGCUAGAAGUGGAUUAGUGGCGCACGGGUGAGUAAUGCAUAGGUUAUGUGCCCUUUAGUCUGGGAUAGCCACUGGAAACGGUGAUUAAUACUGGAUACUCCCUACGGGGGAAAGUUUUUCGCUAAAGGAUCAGCCUAUGUCCUAUCAGCUUGUUGGUGAGGUAAUGGCUCACCAAGGCUAUGACGGGUAUCCGGCCUGAGAGGGUGAUCGGACACACUGGAACUGAGACACGGUCCAGACUCCUACGGGAGGCAGCAGUAGGGAAUAUUGCUCAAUGGGGGAAACCCUGAAGCAGCAACGCCGCGUGGAGGAUGAAGGUUUUAGGAUUGUAAACUCCUUUUGUUAGAGAAGAUUAUGACGGUAUCUAACGAAUAAGCACCGGCUAACUCCGUGCCAGCAGCCGCGGUAAUACGGAGGGUGCAAGCGUUACUCGGAAUCACUGGGCGUAAAGAGUGCGUAGGCGGGGUAAUAAGUCAGAUGUGAAAUCCUGUAGCUUAACUACAGAACUGCAUUUGAAACUGUUACUCUGGAGUGUGGGAGAGGUAGGUGGAAUUCUUGGUGUAGGGGUAAAAUCCGUAGAGAUCAAGAGGAAUACUCAUUGCGAAGGCGACCUGCUGGAACAUUACUGACGCUGAUGCACGAAAGCGUGGGGAGCAAACAGGAUUAGAUACCCUGGUAGUCCACGCCCUAAACGAUGGAUGCUAGUUGUUGCCUUGCUUGUCAGGGCAGUAAUGCAGCUAACGCAUUAAGCAUCCCGCCUGGGGAGUACGGUCGCAAGAUUAAAACUCAAAGGAAUAGACGGGGACCCGCACAAGCGGUGGAGCAUGUGGUUUAAUUCGAAGAUACGCGAAGAACCUUACCUAGGCUUGACAU
rnacentral:rRNA from 1 species